rnacentral:rRNA from 1 species
CGGGCUUGAACUGCAGCGGAAGGACGCGGAGACGCUGACGCCCCUCGGGGCCGCUGCGGAGGUGCUGCAUGGUUGUCGUCAGCUCGUGCCGUGAGGUGUCGGCUUAAGUGCCAUAACGAGCGCAACCCCUCUCCUCAGUUGCCAUCAGGUGAUGCUGGGCACUCUGGGGACACUGCCGCCGUAAGGUGUGAGGAAGGUGGGGAUGACGUCAAAUCAGCACGGCCCUUACGUCCGGGGCUACACACGUGUUACAAUGGGUGGUACAGAGAGCCGGGUGCCCGUAAGGUCGCCCAAAUCCUUAAAGCCGCCCUCAGUUCGGAUUGGGGUCUGCAACCCGACCCCAUGAAGCUGGAUUCGCUAGUAAUCGCGCAUCAGCCAUGGCGCGGUGAAUACGUUCCCGGGCC